GCGGUUGUAGCUCAGUUGGUAGAGCGUCUGCUUGCCAUGCAGAAGGUCGUCAGUUCGAAUCUGAUCAGCCGCUCCA
rnacentral:tRNA from 1 species